rnacentral:piRNA from 1 species
AAAUAGAAACGGAGAAAUGAAGG